AUUGAACGCUAGCGGGAUGCUUUACACAUGCAAGUCGAACGGCAGCGCGGACUUCGGUCUGGCGGCGAGUGGCGAACGGGUGAGUAAUGUAUCGGAACGUGCCCAGUAGCGGGGGAUAACUACGCGAAAGCGUAGCUAAUACCGCAUACGCCCUACGGGGGAAAGCAGGGGAUCGUAAGACCUUGCACUAUUGGAGCGGCCGAUAUCGGAUUAGCUAGUUGGUGAGGUAACGGCUCACCAAGGCGACGAUCCGUAGCUGGUUUGAGAGGACGACCAGCCACACUGGGACUGAGACACGGCCCAGACUCCUACGGGAGGCAGCAGUGGGGAAUUUUGGACAAUGGGGGCAACCCUGAUCCAGCCAUCCCGCGUGUGCGAUGAAGGCCUUCGGGUUGUAAAGCACUUUUGGCAGGAAAGAAACGUCGCGGGCUAAUACCCCGUGGAACUGACGGUACCUGCAGAAUAAGCACCGGCUAACUACGG
rnacentral:rRNA from 1 species